GAUGAAGAACGCAGCGAAAUGCGAUAAGUAAUGUGAAUUGCAGAAUUCAGUGAAUCAUCGAAUCUUUGAACGCACAUUGCGCCCGCCAGUAUUCUGGCGGGCAUGCCUGUUCGAGUGUCAUUACAACCCUCAGGCCCCCGGGCCUGGCGUUGGGGAUCGGCGGAAGCCCCCUGCGGGCACAACGCCGUCCCCCAAAUACAGUGGCGGUCCCGCCGCAGCUUCCAUUGCGUAGUAGCUAACACCUCGCAACUGGAGAGCGGCGCGGCCACGCCGUAAAACACCCAACUUCUGAAUGUUGACCUCGAAUCAGGUAGGAAUACCCGCUGAACUUAAGCAUAUCAAUAAGCGGAGGA
rnacentral:misc_RNA from 1 species